rnacentral:rRNA from 1 species
AAAUUGAAGAGUUUGAUCAUGGCUCAGAUUGAACGCUGGCGGCAGGCCUAACACAUGCAAGUCGAACGGUAACAGGAAGCGCUUGCUGCUUCGCUGACGAGUGGCGGACGGGUGAGUAAUGUCUGGGAAACUGCCUGAUGGAGGGGGAUAACUACUGGAAACGGUAGCUAAUACCGCAUAACGUCGCAAGACCAAAGAGGGGGACCUUCGGGCCUCUUGCCAUCGGAUGUGCCCAGAUGGGAUUAGCUUGUUGGUGGGGUAACGGCUCACCAAGGCGACGAUCCCUAGCUGGUCUGAGAGGAUGACCAGCCACACUGGAACUGAGACACGGUCCAGACUCCUACGGGAGGCAGCAGUGGGGAAUAUUGCACAAUGGGCGCAAGCCUGAUGCAGCCAUGCCGCGUGUAUGAAGAAGGCCUUCGGGUUGUAAAGUACUUUCAGCGGGGAGGAAGGGAGUAAAGUU